rnacentral:rRNA from 1 species
UACGUAGGGGGCAAGCGUUGUCCGGAAUCAUUGGGCGUAAAGAGCGUGUAGGCGGCUUGCUAAGUCUUGCGUGAAAUCUCGGGGCUCAACCCCGAGCGGUCGUGGGAAACUGGCAGGCUAGGAGUGCGGGAGAGGAGAAUGGAAUUCCUGGUGUAGCGGUGAAAUGCGCAGAUAUCAGGAAGAACACCCGUGGCGAAGGCGGUUCUCUGGACACAU